rnacentral:rRNA from 1 species
UAAAAAUUAAUAUAUUAAAAUUAAAUUAGUAAAAGUAUAUCUAAAAAUUUAAAAAAUUUGGCGGUAUUUUAAUCUAUUCAGAGGAACUUGUUUUAUAAUUGAUAAUCCUCGUUGAAUCUUACUUAAAUUAGUAAAAUUUGUAUAUCGUUGUCAUAAGAAAAUCUUAAAAAAGUAAUAAUUUUCAAUAUUAUUAAAAAUUAAUUAUGUCAGAUCAAGGUGCAGUUUAUAUUUAAGAAAAAAUGAGUUACAAUUAAUUUAUUAAAAUGAAUUUUUUAUUUAAAAUUAAAAAUGAAAGUGGAUUUGAAAAUAAAUUUUUAAAGAUAAAAAUUUUGAUUAAAGUUUUAAAAUAUGU